UAGGGAAUAUUGCACAAUGGGCGAGAGCCUGAUGCAGCAACGCCGCGUGCGCGAUGAAGGCCCUCGGGUCGUAAAGCGCUUUUCUGCGAGAUGAGAAAGGACAGUAUCGCAGGAAUAAGUCUCGGCUAACUACGUGCCAGCAGCCGCGGUAAAACGUAGGAGGCGAGCGUUAUCCGGAUUCACUGGGCGUAAAGCGCGUGCAGGUGGUUUGGUAAGUUGGGCGUGAAAGCUCCCGGCUCAACUGGGAGAGGUCGUUCAAUACUAUCAGGCUAGAGAGCAGAAGAGGAAGAUGGAAUUCCCGGCGUAGUGGUGAAAUAGCGUAGAUAUCGGGAGGAACGACCAGUAGGCGAAGGCGGAGUCUUCUGGUCUGUUUUCUGACACUCAGACGCGACAGCUAGGGUAGUAAAACGGGGAUUAGAAACCCCGUGUAG
rnacentral:rRNA from 1 species